rnacentral:lncRNA from 1 species
UACAGGAAGGUUUUGAAAAUAGUUUCAAUAAAGACUUUUAUUCUAUUUAUUUAUGAAAUAAAUUGAUUGUACGAGGUCUUUUAAUUGACAAUCUAUAUCACUUGCAUGUUAAUGCGAAUGUGAAUCUGAAUGAGCAAAUAAUGAGUGCCGUAGGACAAAAGAGACUCAGAGAUGAAAUUAACUAGAAGUACUUGUGGCAUCAUAGACUAGGCC